rnacentral:lncRNA from 1 species
AAAGACGCGUUACGUGUCGCCGCUAUUGCUGGCUGUCGCCGCUAAAGGCGUCGCCGCUAAUGCUUUCAUUUAGCGAUCCGCGUCAUUUUCACCCCAGCCGUCCGAUUUGUUUUCAAUCUAACGGUUGUUAAGGAAAGCGGAAAGGCGCGCUGAGUUUUCCCUCCGUGUGUCGCCGCUAAUGCCCUAAUGUCGCCGCUAUUGCCCUACGUCGCCGCUAAUAGCCGUCGCCGCUAAUGCUAAACGCAUAUACCCUUCACAGUUUACCUUUCUGCCAUUCACAGCUGAUACUUCUCUCUCGUUUUUUCUUCAAUAUCUCGCAGUUUUUCAACUUGGUGGACGCAUUGCUUCUUGGACCGGUGCUAGCUAGCUUCUCCUUCCCUCAAGGCAGCCACAAUACCGCCACAACCCCAACCAAGGUCGACAUUUAGCCAAAAUUCCGAAAUUGCCCCCAACCAAGGUCAAAAUUCUCAUCUUCUUUAUGAUUUUUCUGUUUUAGAUGAUAAAUAGUGAGUAUUUUUCAAGUUUGUUGAGUGAUUAUGUUUGUAUUUUGAUAUAUGAAUUGGUUAUGCAUUUUGUUGGAUUGUAUGUAUUUUGUUGGUUAUGCAUUUUGUUGGAUUGUUGAAUUAUUAUGUGUGUUUUGUUCACAUUUGUGGGAAUUUUGUUGGAUUGUAUGUAUUUUGUUGAAAUUUAUGUUUAGAUUACAUUGAAGUUAUACCACAUUGCCUUAACAUGAAACUUAGAUGUAUAUAUUUGUAUGAAAUUGGAAUAUGCAAAUUGGAUUAAAUUGGAAUAUGCAAAUUGUAUGAAAUUGAAUAUAUACAUUUGGCUUAAUUGUAUGAAAUUGGAUGAAAUUGAAAUAUGCAUUUAGCUUAAUUAGGUUAUUGAAAUAUGAAAUUGGAUGUAUACAUUUAGCUUAAUUAGGCUAUUAAUAGCAACUUACUUCUAGUAAUGUAUUGUAUAUGGUUUGAAAGUGCUUAAUUUUGUUAGUGACUUAAUGUUUGACCAACUUAAUAGCAACAUACUUUUAGUGACUUAAUGUUGGUCAUUACAACUUUAGCUUUAAUUAGGUUAUUAAUAGCAAUGUAUUUCUAGUAAUUUUAAUUUAAAUAGAAUAAAAUUAAAUUAAUUUAAAAAAACAUUAAAAAAUAAUAAAUUAAUUGUAAAAUCAACUUAAUGUUUUCCCUCCGUGUGUCGCCGCUAAUGCCCUAAUGUCGCCGCUAUUGCCCUACGUCGCCGCUAAUAGCCGUCGCCGCUAAUGCUAAACGCAUAUACCCUUCACAGUUUACCUAUCUGCCAUUCACAGCUUACACAUAACUCUUUCUCUCUCGUUUUUUCUUCAAUAUCUCGCAAUUUUUCAACUUGGUGGACGCAUUGCUUCUUGGACCGGUGCUAGCUAGCUUCUCCUUCCCUCAAGGCAGCCACAAUACCGCCACAACCCCAACCAAGGUCGACAUUUAGCCAAAAUUCCGAAAUUGCCCCCAACCAAGGUCAAAAUUCUCAUCUUCUUUAUGAUUUUUCUGUUUUAGAUGAUAAAUAGUGAGUAUUUUUCAAGUUUGUUGAGUGAUUAUGUUUGUAUUUUGAUAUAUGAAUUGGUUAUGCAUUUUGUUGGAUUGUAUGUAUUUUGUUGGUUAUGCAUUUUGUUGGAUUGUUGAAUUAUUAUGUGUGUUUUGUUCACAUUUGUGGGAAUUUUGUUGGAUUGUAUGUAUUUUGUUGAAAUUUAUGUUUAGAUUACAUUGAAGUUAUACCACAUUGCCUUAACAUGAAACUUAGAUGUAUAUAUUUGUAUGAAAUUGGAAUAUGCAAAUUGGAUUAAAUUGGAAUAUGCAAAUUGUAUGAAAUUGAAUAUAUACAUUUGGCUUAAUUGUAUGAAAUUGGAUGAAAUUGAAAUAUGCAUUUAGCUUAAUUAGGUUAUUGAAAUAUGAAAUCUGAUGUAUACAUUUAGCUUAAUUAGGCUAUUAAUAGCAACUUACUUCUAGGAAUGUGUUGUAUAUGGUUGGAAAGUGCUUAAUUUUGUUAGUGACUUAAUGUUUGGCCAACUUAAUAGCAACAUACUUUUAGUGACUUAAUGUUGGUCAUUACAACUUUAGCUUUAAUUAGGUUAUUAAUAGCAAUGUAUUUCUAGUAAUUUUAAUUUAAAUAGAAUAAAAUUAAAUUAAUUUAAAAAAACAUUAAAAAAUAAUAAAUUAAUUGUAAAAUCAACUUAAUGUUUUCCCUCCGUGUGUCGCCGCUAAUGCCCUAAUGUCGCCGCUAUUGCCCUACGUCGCCGCUAAUAGCCGUCGCCGCUAAUGCUAAACGCAUAUACCCUUCACAGUUUACCUUUCUGCCAUUCACAGCUGAUACUUCUCUCUCGUUUUUUCUUCAAUAUCUCGCAGUUUUUCAACUUGGUGGACGCAUUGCUUCUUGGACCGGUGCUAGCUAGCUUCUCCUUCCCUCAAGGCAGCCACAAUACCGCCACAACCCCAACCAAGGUCGACAUUUAGCCAAAAUUCCGAAAUUGCCCCCAACCAAGG